AAAGAAAGUCCUUGUCUUUCUCUGUCUCGGUAGUAGCAUCAGCCUCAUUGCCCGGUAUGGCUUGAUAGUGGUAUAAGGAUUUCCCUGUAGGUGGUCCGCUUACUGUGCUAUUUCAAUGCUUCGGGGUAGAAGAUGUCGAAGGAACAAAGAGGACGAAGGUUCUUCGGCGCAUAUUCGUAGGAUAUGACACCGAACGAAAAGGAUGGAGAUGUUUCGACCUACCCGUAUCUUACUAUGCUAUUUCAAUGCUUCGGGGUAGAAGAUGUCGAAGGAACAAAGAGGAACAAGGUUCUUCGCCGCAUAUUCGUAGGAUAUGACACCGAACGAAAAGGAUGGAGAUGUUUCGACCUACCCGUAAAAGACAUGUUUUGAAAAGAUGGGGAUUGGGGCUAUUGAUCCGGAAAGACGAGAUGGAAUUGCUAUUGAGUCUUCGAGGCGCUGAAAGCAAAGCCCUAAGAUUGAUCUGAUUCCUCCCAUUGAGUCGGUCUUAGAGCCGGUAGAUCAGAUUGAAUGAGGGAUGGAAGGAUGUUCCGGUAUUCGAAUUAUCCGCAGGGCUACACGACGGUGGAAG
rnacentral:lncRNA from 1 species